GCCGGGACUCCCAUAGCGGCGGCGCAGCUGUAGGCGGCUGCCCGGCCCGCGGACGGACGUAACCAGAGAGACAGGCAGCAGCGGGCCACAGGCACUGGCACUUCCUCCCACGUGCACCCGGCGACAGGAAGUGAGGCUUCAUCUAGCGGGCAUGACGGAUCACUGACUGCAUUUCCAGACCUUAUCUCCUCCCCUGAAAUCAGAGGGUGGGACUGAAAGUUCCAAUCCUCUAAUCAAGGUUGGUCUCACUCUAAGCACCCCCUCCAGAAUGAUUCAUCUCUACCCAAAAAAGAUGCAGUGAAGACAGCAUGAUGGAGGCAGAGGUUCCCACAAGGGAAAUGCACAGCUUGGAAUUACUAUCCAGAGAAAUCAAUGAGCCACCAAGAAAUAAAAUAAGAACUGAGAGAAGACCCACGAAGAAGCCAAUAUACCAAGUAGUGAGCACGCUGGGUGUUUAUGUGCGAGCAGAAAUGAAAAUGUUAUAUGUGGAAGCUCUUACUCACCUGGACUAGUUUAGAAUAGUGGUCACCACAAAUUAGCAACGGCUCUCAUUGAAACCUACAACCUGUGAAGGAGGUGGACCAGGAGAGUAGCAAAGAGUGGCCCAGGUAAUAACCACAGCAGGACUUCUAGUCACCAUCUUCUUCUCCAGUGAAAUGCCUUUUGAGAAUUCUUCAUGUCUAUGAAAACCAGGAGCCUUGGUGGCUCCUGGAGUUAAAAAAACCAUUAUAGGAGAAAUUUUGGGGGCACAAAUGGUGAAAUUAGAAUAGGGACUAUAUAUUGGAGGGCAUUACAGAAUUAAUGCUAGUUGUCUUAAAUAUGAUAAUAGUACUGUGAUUAGGUAGGAUAUGGCCUUAUUGUUCAGAGAUGCAGGCUGGAGGAUUAGAUCAUCAGGGAAGAAGAGGGGACCACAGGGGAAGGGAGAAUGGAGGUAAUGAGAAGCCCCAGCUGGGCUGCUCACGACCUCACUCAGCCAGACAGGAAACAUGCGGUUUGGAGUAUCUAUCGCUGCACAAAUCCACCAGCCCCAAACACAGAGGCUUAAAACAAUUGCUUAUUUGCUCCCAACGUGGACUUCGGGCAGGCAGCUCAUCUUGGCUUCACGCAGACUCACCAGCUCUGGUGCUCACAAGGCUGGAGGCUGAACAGAACAACUUGCUGUUGGCUGGGUUCCUCAGUUCUCGUCCACGUGUCCUGCCCACAAGGCCAGCGUGGGCUCCCUCACAGCUCAGUGUGGGCUCAGAGCAGCCAGACUUCUGACACGGGCCCUGGCUUCCCUCAAAGUGCCAAAGUGGAAGCUGCCAGACCUUCCUAGGCUUGGGGCCUGGAACUGGCACCGUGUGGAUUCCACCUCAGGUCACAGGGCCAGGCCAGAUUCAAAAGACUUAACUACCAGGGGGAGAGGGUCACUGGGGGCCACUAGAUGGACAGUUCACCACACACAGGGAUGUGGGCCUGUGGCCAGCGGCAAUUUCCUACAGGCCAGCCAGCAACCACAGGAACAGGGCACGUGAGAGAUGGCUGUGUUUCAAACACCUUCGGCUCCUUGAUUACACCAGGGCUGUUGAAGCGCAGAGAUCAAACUGCUCCAUGAAAAAAAGGGUAAACAAGGGUUUCCUCAUGCAGCACCUCCCCAAGAAUUUCAGAAGCUCAUAUGCGUGGGAGGUUUAACAUAAAGUGUUCCCUGAACCUAUCUGACCAUGGUGCACACUUAAAAAAAAAAAAAGACUAUCAUUUGGUACAUUAGGACUGUAAUGACUCCAAUUUAGUUGUUUUUUUCUUUUAAUUUAAUAACACUUUAAAAAAUUGUGGUAAAAUACACAUAACAGAAAAUGUACCAUCUUCACCAUUUUUAGGGGUGUUAAGUACAUUCAUAUUGCAGUGUCCCAUCUCCAGAACUCUUCAUCUUGCAAAACUAAAACAUUAAACACUAACUUCCCUUUUCCCUCUCCUCCCAACCUCCCAGGAGCCACCAUUCUACUUUCCAUCUCUAUGAAGUUGACUACUCUAGGGAACUCAUAUGAGUGAAAUCAUACAGCAUCUGUCUUUUUGUGACCAGCUUAUGUAUAGCUGCCCCUGCUCUCUUUUGAUUGCUCUCUGCGUGGAGUAUCUUUUUCCAUCUUAUCACUUUCAACCCAUUUGUGUCUUUAAAUCUAAAUUGAGUCUCUUGUACACAGCAUAUAGUUGGAUCAUGUUUCUUAAAAUCCAUCCUGCUGAUCUCUGUCUUUUGAUUGUAGAGUUAAAUUUGUUUACAUUUAAAAUAAUUACUGAUAAGGAGAGACUUACUUGUAUCAUUUUAACUUUUUUUUUCUAGAUGCCUUAUAGCUUUUUCGGUGCCUCAUUUCUUGCAUUACUGGUUUCUUUUGUGUUGAGUUGAUUUUUUGCAGUGAAAUGUUUUAAUUCCCUUCUCAUUUCCUUUUGUGUAUAUUCUGUAGCUAUUUUCUUUGUGGUUACCACAGGGAUUACAUUUAACAUCCUAACAUUAUAGCACCAGUUGGAAUUUAUGCCAACUUAACUUCAAUAACAUAAAAAAAAAAAAACUCUGCUCCUAAACAAUUCUGUCCCCACCCCUUUCAGUUAUUGAUGUUACAAAAAUGUCUUUACACGUUGUGUGUCCAAAACAUAAACUAGUAAUAAUUUUUUAUGCAUUAAUUUCUUACAUUGUAUAUAAGACAAAAUUAUAAACAAAAGUUAUAAUAAUAGCUUUUAAGCUAAUAUUUUUAAAAAUGUAUUAGUCUCUUCAAUCAAGUAGAAUAUAAAAAAUUGAGUUAUAAACCAAGGUUAAAAUAAUACUAGUGUUUACAAUUGCCCACAUCUUUAUCUUUACUGAGAUCUUGAUUUCUUCAUAUGGCUUCAAGUUACUGUCUAAUGUCCUUUCAUUUCAAUCUGCAGGAUUCCUUUUAGCAUUCCUUGCAGGAAAGGUCUAGCAGCAACCAACUUUCUCAGCUUUUGUUUAUCUGGGAAUGUCUUCAUUUCUCCAUCACUUUUGAGGGACAGUUUUGCUGGGUAUAAGAUCCUCGGUUGACAGUUUUUCUUUCAGUACUUUGAAUAUAACAGCCCCACUGCCUUCUGGGCAAAAGUUUCUGGUGAGAAAUCUGCUGAUAAUCUUACUGAGGAUCCCUUGUAUGUGAUGCAUUACUCUUCUCUUGCUGCUUUUAAGAUUCUCCUUUUGUCUUGGCUGUUCUAUAGCUUGAUUAUAAUGGGUCUUGGUGUGGGUCUCUUUGACUUCAUCCUAUUGCAGUUUGCUGAGCUUCUUAAAUGUUUAUAAUCAUGUCAUUCAUCAAAUUUGGGAAAAUUUCGGCCACUAUUUCUUCAAAUAAUCUCUCUGUCCCUUUCUCUCUCUCUCUCUCUCUCCUCUUUCUGGGAUGCCCACAAUGUUGGUCCAGUUUACGGUGUCCCACAGGUCCCUUAGGCUCUGUUCACUUUUCUUCAAUUUUUUUUUCUGUUCUUCAGUCUCAAUAAUUUCAAAUUGUCCUAUUUUUGAGUUCACUGAUUUUUUUUUCUUCUGGCUGCUCAAAUAUGCCUUUGAAUCCCUCUAGUGAAUUUUUAAUUUCAGUUAUUGCACUUUUCAGCUCCAGAAUUUCUUUUUCUUUUUUUUUUUUUUUUUUUGCGGUACACGGGGCUCUCACUGCUGUGGCCUCUCCCGUUGCGGAGCACAGGCUCCAGAUGCGCAGGCUCAGCGGCCAUGGCUCAUGGGCCCAACCUCUCCGCGGCAUGUGGGAUCUUCCCGGACCGGGGCACGAACCCGUGUCCCCUGCAUCGGCAGGCGGACUCUCAACCACUGCGCCACCAGGGAAGCCCCAGAAUUUCUUUUUAGUUUCUUUUUUGAUAUUUCCAUUUUGCUCAUACAUUGUUUUCUUGACUUUCUCCAUGUCUUCCAUUAGUUCUUUGAGCAUCUUUAAGACAGUUGUCUUUGUCAUCUAGCAAUUCUGCCAUCUGGUCUUUCUCAGUGAUGGUUUCCGUCAGGUUCUUUCUUCCUUUGAACAGGCUGUUCUUUCCUGUACACCUUGUGAAUUUUUGUUGAAAACUGGACAUUUGAAUCUAGUAAUGUAGUAACUCUGGAAAUCAGAUUCUCCCCCUUCCUCAGGAUUUGCUGCAUUUUGGUUUUGUUUUGUUGCUUGUUGUAAGCUGUGUCUCUGGUGGGGAUAAGCCUGAGGUAUAAACAUCGAUCUUCUCAGGUCUUUUUUUAAACCUGCAUAUUUCCUUGGGCAUGUACCUUUCUCUGGUCUUAUGUGUUGACUUUAUAAAUUCCCCUGUAUUUGUGGUUUCUUUUCAAAAUCCUAGACUUUAAAUGUCUGGCUCCCAAAAGGGAAAAGCAGAAAAAUGAAUGGAAGUGGAAAAAAGGGGUGCUGGCCCUUUAAUUCCCUUGGACGUUGCUUCAGCUGGAGGGGGAGGGGCUUGCAACACCGAGGAGGGGUUCCACAUGGGCCACCUACCUAUGUUUCUGCACCUCCAAGAUCAGAAGCAGCAAUCAGAACACAGAGCCCCAGUUUUUGGAGGUCAAGGUCCCUAUUGCCCACGCUGGCUCCCCAAAGCUGCCCAUAAGCUGCUCCAGGAGCUCUUGCACAGCUGCCUGCCAUGUGGCUAAGGGUCGGGGGUGGGUAUCAGCCACUAUGCUGGGAGCUGAAAUUGGCUGGAAUUAACUGCAGUUUACCAUCCAAACCCUCCCCUGGAAGUUGCAAGCCUUUGGAUAGGCUCCAGAAUUCAAAGGCAGUUAAAACAGCCACAUCCUGCCAGUGCAGUUGUAAUCUGGGCGAGGAGACAGAGUCCUGGGGCUUCCUACCCCACCACCUUCCCAGCAACCUCUCUCCUCCUGUUUGGACUCUUGUCCUCCAGGCGUGGAGGAUGAGUUUCUCAUUGGAUCAUAAUCUUGGCUUUUCUGCUGCCUGUCCUCAGUGCCAACAUGGCACCUGUCCCCUGAUUCUUAUGAUGUACAUUAAUAGCCUUCCUUCUCCCACAUCCUCCCAAGGGGAUUUGCUGAGGUUCAAGGUCACCUUGGCUCAGAAUGUGAGACAUGAGAGCCUAACAUGAGCUCUCUUGUUAUAAGAACAUUCUAAUUUCUCACAGGUAAAAAUGAUCACCUGGUCAUGAACCUCCCUUGGCACACGCAUGCCUGGAACUACUGAGCUCCCAGCGUCCGCUUGCCAAACUCCUAUUGGUUCUCUGAGACUCACCCCAAAGGUAAUGUCCUGAUUGAAUCCAUGCACAGACAGUCUAUCCAAUCCUUUAGGUGUGUUUCCACAGAACAGCAAAUAAUACCAUUAGAUAUUUUCUGCGUGCCUUUGUUAAGUGAGUGAUUGAAUAAAUCGUUACUUCUUAUAUUAUUGCCAAAACAUCUAUGAGAAAUGUUUGAGCUGGAGACCGGAUGCAGGCACCUCUGAAAAGGGAGAAAGAACUAGUCCUUGGCAAACAUUGGGACAAGGAUGCAAGACUGACAGCAUUCCCAUGGCUCUGGAGGGAGUGAUGUGGUCUGCUUUCGGUUGAUUUCAUACCGUUGGCCUAAGUACACUCACAAGUGCUAGGAAGGCCUGGCAACGGGACCCUGCGAACGCCACUUAGUAAGCUACUACGGUGAUUAAACUGCAGGAUGCUGCAGAGUGCCUUCUUAGCUCUUUUCUCCAGCACGUCCCCUCAGCUGGGAAGCAUCCGGCUUUUAAUUUGGGAAAGCAGGAGAUGGCAGGCGUCCUGUCCAUCAGCGUCAUCUGUCACCAUCUUUGAGCUGCCAGCACGACAGCUGGGGAAGAGCGGGUUCAAGUUGACGGGCAGAACGUUUUACAUCUAAUGAGUUUGUGUGGAAUAACAGUAUAAUAAAUAAGGCUCUAGAGGAACCCGGUUAUCACUUGCAUUCCAAAAGUGAGAUAUGGCCUCACCAGGAGCUCACAGAGCCAUCUGUCGUCAAAUAGUCUUUGUGUCAAAGGCUGGACUGGCCUGAGGAAAUGGAAACAUCAGCAGAGGAGAGCAAAUGACAACACUGUGUCUUUUCAAAAAGAUUUACAGGGAGCCACCUCCAGGAGCCGGAGAUUUCCAGACGAUUUUGAAAUAAAUAUAUAAAACCACUA